AGCCCAGACUCCUACGGGAGGCAGCAGUGGGGAAUAUUGCACAAUGGGGGGAACCCUGAUGCAGCGACGCCGCGUGGGCGAGGAAGUAUUUCGGUAUGUAAAGCCCUAUCGGCAGGGAAGAAGAAAUGACGGUACCUGAAUAAGAAGCACCGGCUAAAUACGGGCCAGCAGCCGCGGUAAUACGCAGGGGGCAAGCGUUAUCCGGAUUUACUGGGUGUAAAGGGGGGGCAGACGGCGAUGCAAGCCAGGGGUGAAAGCCCGGGGCCCAACCCCGGGACUGCUCUUGGAACUGCGUGGCUGGAGUGCAGGAGGGGCAGGCGGAAUUCCUGGUGUAGCGGUGAAAUGCGUAGAUAUACGGAGGAACACCAGUGGCGAAGGCGGCCUGCUGGACAUUAACUGACGCUGAGGCGCGAAAGCGUGGGGAGCAAACAGGAUUAGAUACCCGCGUA
rnacentral:rRNA from 1 species